rfam:Schistosoma mansoni strain Puerto Rico chromosome 2, complete genome
ACCCAGCUGACGAGUCCCAAAUAGGACGAAGUGGCAAGCGUUCUGGAU